GCAAUCGUGGCCGAGUGGUUAAGGCGUCAGACUCGAAAUCUGAUGGGGUCUCCCCGCACAGGUUCGAAUCCUGUCGGCUGCG
rnacentral:tRNA from 1 species